rnacentral:tRNA from 1 species
UGGCCCAUAGCAUAGUUGGUUAAUGCAGCCGGCUCAUAACCGGAAGAUCGGGGGAUCAUUCCCCUCUGGGCCAACAA